UAGGGAAUCUUCGGCAAUGGGGGGAACCCUGACCGAGCAACGCCGCGUGAGUGAAGAAGGUUUUCGGAUCGUAAAGCUCUGUUGUUAAGGAAGAACGAGUGUGAGAAUGGAAAGUUCAUACUGUGACGGUACUUAACCAGAAAGGGACGGCUAACUACGUGCCAGCAGCCGCGGUAAUACGUAGGUCCCGAGCGUUGUCCGGAUUUAUUGGGCGUAAAGCGAGCGCAGGCGGUUAGAUAAGUCUGAAGUUAAAGGCAGUGGCUCAACCAUUGUAGGCUUUGGAAACUGUUUAACUUGAGUGCAGAAGGGGAGAGUGGAAUUCCAUGUGUAACGGUGAAAAGCGUAGAUAUAUGGAGGAACACCGGUGGCGAAAGCGGCUCUCUGGUCUGUAACUGACGCUGAGGCUCGAAAGCGUGGGGAGCGAACAGG
rnacentral:rRNA from 1 species